rnacentral:lncRNA from 1 species
AUGACUCCAUUUUACAACAAAGGUGGAAGGACAUGCUUUCACUUAACGGAAAGGAUCAGGGUCUCCAUGCCCAGCAAGGGAAAGACUGGGGGCAACAUGCUGCCCAACACUUCUGGGAAAGGAAGAGUUAAAGAGCACAUCUUCCAGUGGGAAGCCUUGCACCUGGGAGGCUCGAAGGAGAAAGGCAAACAUUUCAAGAUCAAGUGUUCAUGCACAUCUGCUGCUGACUUUGGCUUCUGUGGCUUCUUCAGUACAGUCAACAGUCAGACCUGUGGUGAGGUCUCUCUGCACAGAACUACGCUAGAACUGACGUGGCCUUUAAAUCUGUAUCUCGAGAUCAGUUAUAAUUCUCAGAACAACCACAACUAGGUUUGCCAUCACAUAAUCCUCAGAGCCGCUCUAAAGUCUGUCCUGCAGACUUCCUUAGGUAAGUUAUUCUGGGUCAAAUAAGAGAAACUGUUGUGAAAUAGCAAUGCUUGAAUGCAGCUCUGGCGUUUAGUAGGUAAGUCACAUUCAUCUGUGUUGAGUAGCCUGUGGCAGGUAUAAACUAAAGGUCAAGUGCCAUGUUAUUGGAGAAGACAUGCGUAUGCCUGUCCCUUUGGGUGGGUGACAAUACUCAGCUAUAAUAUGCUAAGUCUAGUGAAAACCCCCAGCAUCAGUUCUUCCUCCUGUUAUGCUGGGGUCAGAUCUGCAAAUGUAAGGAUUUAUUUUACUCUUUUUGCUACUCCGGCAUUGAGGCAAAACCCCAAAACUUGUAUUAGAAAAGUGGCCAAGAUAAGUAUGUUUCAACAGCCAUGCAGAGCCUCCAACUUCUAGGCAAUAACCAGCUUUGAAGUGAAAUAUGUACUGCAAUAAUCCAUGCACACUUCAUUAAUUCCAGAACUGCAACAGCAAAGUGCUACUUAGAAAAAGCUGCAAGAUAGUAAUGAAGGGUUUCGGUUUUAUUUUUCUUCUAAUCACAAAAGCGCCUUAUCUCCAUUCUCCAUGUUUUUUUUUCAUUCAAUUUACAGGAAUCCAAAUUAAAGCUCAUCUAACAAUAAAAAAUCACUUUAUUACA